GCAAUAUAGACCCUGUGACUUACCACUCCUCGCAACAGUCUGAUAUGAACUGAACAGGGUCCACGGCCCCUGAGAUCACUCUGGACUGUUUGCUUUUCCUGCCUGGAGCCCUUGAAACCUGAAGGGGCUUAGGGAAUUGGGCUGCUUGGGUUCAGAUGCAGACUCUUGCAAACCUCAGAAUCAGACAGUGAUGAUAUGACCAAGGAGCUUCGUACCCGCUGGGAGCACUAAUAACAACGGGGCCCUUUAAGCUUUUGGCCCAUGGUGGGAUCUUACUUGUUCCACACCUCCUGGCCCACUGCAUCUCCACUUCUAAGGAGAAACAAUGGACAAGUCUUCUGUUUUGAAUGUAGAGAAAGGCAAGAGCUUGCUGUGCUGAAAAGGCCAACAUUGAGCAUCCACUCCUCUGUGACAUAGAAGACACCAAUGCAGAAUGAUAGGGCUUCUGGAUGGACAUCACAUUCCCCGGUGAUAUUCAGUGUUUCAAAGGGAGACUGAUUCUUUCAAUAAGCUCGAGUUCAUUGUUCCCUUCUUCACUGGACAAGAAAAGUCCGGCUUUCUCAAGUUGGGCGGCUAGCCUCUGGCGAAGAGUCACCGACUUCGGAAUCGCGAUUGCACCGCUCGGGGCAGGCAGUUGCCAUCAGCGAAGUCCCCAAAGUGUAGGUGGCAACCAUCGCGGACGCGGGUAGCGCAGCCCGGAAGCAGUGCUGUGAGCAGGGGGAGUAACGGGGCGGGGGAGAGUGCGGGGCUUUGAUGCUUGCAGCCCUUAGCGCGGGCCCGUUCCCGAGUCGC
rnacentral:lncRNA from 1 species